rnacentral:tRNA from 1 species
GUGCCUUUAUUCCCAAAAAGUGCCGGAAAGCCGCAUAAAUGCUCAUUCGUGAGUUGGACUUUUAAUCCGUUGGUCGCGAGUUUGAAUCUUGCAGGGCCCG